CUUUUCAGGAACUAGUUUGUGAAGCUGAUUUGUCUUUUCAGGAGAUAAGAGUUACACAUGCUCAGGAUUUGAGUACAAAGGAAUGGGAAUGGAGCUGAACAGAUCCAACACCUGAAAGGACAAUUGGAUCUCAUAAGGGACAAAACCAUGAAAAACACCCUUCAUUCAAUAAAGCAACAGAAUCGGCUCUGAGGAGAGGUGAAAGAAAGGCAGUGCUGACCUCUCAAGGAAGGAAGAUUCCAAGACAUGGCUGAACUUAAGAAUGCAGGCAGGCAGGUAAUCAUCAUUCAAGAUGUGCGGGGACCAGAUGACCACCCAUGCCAGGAGGAAAUGAGUGAAAGCGAUUCUCCUGGGGAAGAGGUAAGAAAUGCCCAGGCUCAGAGCACCCAAGUGGAUAUUAAUGGAUCUUAUUAACUUGCAGGUAAAAGAACUGCUGCUGUUCUCACUUGUCAAGGGAAGAAUGUGAGAAGCAGGUGCAGACUGUGCUAACGCAGUGUGUCUGGCCACCUGCUGAAUCCACAGAGGGGAGAGAAGAGCAUUCUGUAGCUAUAGUCCUGGUAAUGGAGAGCAGCCACCUGAGACAGUGCAGCCAGUUGCACUUUCCAGCUGUAAACAUCCCUGCAGAUCACGGACCAAGGAGAUGAAAGAAAUGAAACUCAUCUUGCAUGCCAGGAGAGGAAUACUGCGCGAGCAACCUGACCCAUUGCGAAGUGAAGAAAGCAUUUUUUCCUUGUGGAUAAGGAAUAGUUCAGGAACCUAUGAAAUCUGUAUGAAAGAUUGCAGGUGAAUGUACCUCUGGUCAGCUCACCACAGCCUCGCUGAUCACACAUCCCAGGAUACAUGAAGAGUUGAGGGCCAUAGCAGACAACAGGGGUUCCUCUUUACCAGGAGGUAAGAAAUAUACCCGCUUAUCGCAUCCCAGUGCAAAUUCAAGACUUUGGUUUUUCUUUCAGAGCCUAUGUUAUAUGUCAAGAGGGGAAUGCUGCCAACUAAUUGAGAACAAAGCAAUGUAUGUAGCCAGAGCUGCUGAGAUGUAAGAGUAGCAUCCUGUGAGUCUAUUCACAGGAAAAGAGAGUAGCCACUUAUCCCCAGCAAGUGUUAAACCACGCAGCUGGUUGCAUCUCUCCAAACACAGCCACGCUCAGACCGUUCCCGGCAAGGAGCACCUCGCACUUCUCCAGAUGUCAGGAGAGCAGAGGGCUGUGCUUUGCAAGAAGCAAUUAGGGAAGCUGAUCAUCCCCUUUCAUGAGGUGAGAAAUACACAUUCUCAGAGAGUUCAGGUGACAAUAAUGGAUCUGGUCAGUCUUUCAGAUGGAAGAAAUGCAGCUGAUCUGAUCUUCCCAGACAGGAAGGCUUGGAAGUUGCAAACAAUCAUGAUAGCGAUCCAUUUUUGUUGACCAAAGGAAAAAUGGAGCUGGGUGCUGGCUACAGGUCGGUAACAUUAGUAUUUAGACAUCUCAGUAAAUAAGAGGGCAACUGACCACAGUGGAGAGGUGAGUAUUUGAACUGCUCUUGCAAGAGAUUAGCUGUGCUACUGAUUAUAUUUGUGCAGAAUUGUUCAUUGCACUUUAUUGUCCUUUAGAAGUGCAGGAAGAAGAUACAUGAAGUGGAUCAUUUCUGUUUUGAGUUAAGGGACCACCUAUCAAGAUUUAGACAUUGCAGAAGAUGUUACCUCUCAAAAGGAGAGCAAUGCUUAUUCCAUCACUGACAAAGAGCUGAUUGGGCUUCAAGCUGUGGGAACAGUAGGAAGAUUUAUGCCAGGAAGAUAUACAAAAGGUGAUUGUUCCUGUUGAGAGGUAAGAAAUGCCUUCCAGCAUUCCUUUGGAAAUAAAUGGAUGAGACCAUACUUUCAGGUACAAGAAAUGCAGCUGAUCUUCCCUUUGGAGAGAAGAAAUCGACAAGCAGUUGACAAACUGCACAGAUCAGCAAAUUUCUGAAAAGAAAUCAACUCAGUGACCAGAUGGGGAGUAAGGAAAACUGGGACUUUCCCCUGUAGUACAAUGAAGCUGGUGGUAUAUAUGAAGAGAAGGGAUCUAGGGUUAGCUGUUAGUGAAUGAGCAAUUGAGCUGUUUGUAAUUUUCCAGAUGAUAGUAGCCCAGCUGGCCAUGAAAAGUAAGAAAAUACUUUUGUUUUUACACUCUGACUGGGUGCUGAACUAUGCAGUUGGGUCUAACUCCGUCAGGUUAUGGCUCAGAGAAAAUUGGCUGUUCUAACGGGGAAACGGUGUAGCUGUCUCUGUCAGUUAGAUUCGCAGUGCAUCUGCUUCUGCUAUGAGUGGUGUUGAAAUCCACCUGGCAAGAGAGACACAAAGGAGCUGGUUGUGAAUAUAGAGAGAGGAACUGGAAGGAGAAGUUAGUGCAGGGGAAGAGGAAAGCAAUAUAAGAGGUUGUGUCUGUCAGGACUGAUCAGUGGAGCUGGUUGUAACUGUCACAGGUCAGCAAUAUCUGGUUGUAUCUGUGUGUUAAUGAAGGGGCUGAUUGAUACCUGUCUACGGAGGAAGAGGCUGUUGGACCCACCAAGGAUAAAGCAGUGCAGCUGGUCAGAGCAGCUAGUAGGGAAAUGAUGCUGCUGCUGGUGGUACUGGUGAAGAAAUAGCAUUCACCUUGACAGGGCUGUGGGAGGAUUCAAAUUCGUAUCUGUUCACCUGCUGGGGGAAGGAGAGCAGUUGGUUCUGUCUGCCAGGAUGGAAGCAAUGAAGUGAGUUGUACCUUAUCAGAGGAAAGCACUGGAGAUUGGCGAAUACUGGGACACAGACUGUAUCUCAAGGUGUGACUGGGGCAGGGUGUGUAACCAUAGCAACCAGUGGGUCCUUUCCCAUUGUGGUCCUUGCUCGCAUGCACAGGGUGAAACUGAUCGCCAUGAUUGGGGUCAGGAAGGAAUUUUCCUCCAGGGCAGAUUGGCCAGAGACCCUGGAGGUUUUUCGCCUUCCUCUGGGGCAUUGAGCAGGGACCAGCCCUUAGGGCCAUUUAGAAACAGACA